CCCGCUUCCCCCCGACCCUGCCAUCAUCCUUCUGCUAAAGCACUUUCUCAAUGCAAUGUAGUCAUUUGAUUUCUUCUCUGCCACCCUGUCUUGCAAUCGGAGGUCAGGGAGGGAAAGAUUGUUUCUUAUUCAUCUUGAAAGCACAGUGCCUGAUAAAUAUCUCAUCAAUUCAGGAUUGAAUGAUAGACUAAAUGUAUGAAUGGGAAGCAGGAGCCACACAUUUAUUUGCUUCAGUGUUUAUUAGAAAAUGACCAUCUUACAGGUUGUUGUUAUUCCACAAUUUAGGAAUUUGUAGGUAUUUAAAGUAUACAGUGGAAUGGGAAUGUGAGAGAAUUCUAGGUUCCUGCUAAAUGUCAUCCCUUCUCUACUCCAGGAUUCUGCUGAAUCUCAUGCAUAUGUAUGGCAAGAUCUUCUUUCUUCCCUUGUUCAGACAUAUUCUGAUUUAAACUUAUUACAUCAGGUCCUUGGACUACAGAGAACUCACGCUCUGGCUGCAAAUUGUUUGCCUCAAAGAGACAUAAAUAACCACAACUGCCACAAAAUAAAGCAGGUGCCUGAAUGAACAACUUUGAAAGCUUCUGAAUGUCCCCCAAAAAAGAUUGGAAAGCUUUUCUAGAAGCAAGCCAGAAGAGGUGCUAUGUGGGAUCCUUUGAGGACUCCAACAGAAAAGUAGAUUUCAUCUGGAUUUUUGUGCUCCCAACUCAAAGGAGUUGGCCAGGAAGGUCACUGUGGUAGGAGCUGCAGAGGGAAGAGGAGAGUUUGAUAAAAAGAUAAUGAGAUCUGCUUUGAUGCAUUCUUCCUGAAAAUGUUGAUGAGAAAUGAAGAUGAAGAUGCACACACCAAAUGUUGCACCACUUAUUUUGGUGACUUUUAAAGAAUGGCAAUGGGAAGACAGAUGACCCAUGAGACCUUUUGAAGGAGAAUUUGGCGUUUGGACCAAGAAUGUUGAAACGAUUAGAUUUGAAAAGAGCUUCUACCCUAUAGUUGCAAAUUUCUUUUUUAAUAAAGAGGAAACAAGGCACA
rnacentral:lncRNA from 1 species